AACCCUAAGUCACAAGUUGAUAAGGAGGCGGGGGGAGGGGCGCCCUUGCCCUGCUCAGCUUGAUCAUUAACCCUGAGUUUGCUCUCGGACUUGCUCUCCGAGGGGCUGCUGGCCCAGUGCUGGGCAGGUGGCCAGUCUCCGUUAACGGGUGUGCCGACACCCUCAGCUGACAGGCCUCCUGCUCCUGGCCGGCACAGGCGCAGUGCACACCCCGCUGGGGGUGGAAGCCUCCGGGAGCUGCUAUGACACAGACCACCAUGUGGCCACUAGCUCCCGGCCACCGCCACGCUGGACUCCCUCAUGCCACAACUGACUAGACUAUGCGUUACAGCAGAUACAGAGAGAGGAACUGGCCGGCUGUGAGGGUGGGGUUGCUACCUACAGCCUGCUGUUCUUGGGAUAUGGAUUUUGGUGGGUUCUCAGCUGCAGUACCUGUCCCUCUCAUUCAGCGCAGUGGGGAGUGCUUCCCAGCCUUGUCAGCUUAACAUACAAACUGGAACCAUCUGAAAGGAGGAGCUUCAAUAGAGAAAAUGUCUCCGUGAGAUCUGUACAGCAUUUUCCUAAUGAGUGAUUGAUGCGUGUGGUGCCGUCCCUGGGAGGGUGGUCCUGGGUUCUAUAAGAAAGCAGUUGAGCAAUCCAUGGGGAGCAAGCCAGUGAGCAGCACCCUCCAUGGCCUCUGCAUCAGCUCCUGCUCCAGGUUCCUGCCCUGCUUGAGUUCCUGUCCUGACUUCCUUCAUCGAUGAACAGUGCUGUGGAAGUGUAAGCUGAAUAAAACUUUCCCUUCCCAACUUGCA
ensembl:lncRNA